rnacentral:rRNA from 1 species
CGUAGGGUGCGAGCGUUAAUCGGAAUUACUGGGCGUAAAGCGUGCGCAGGCGGUUAUGUAAGACAGUUGUGAAAUCCCCGGGCUCAACCUGGGAACUGCAUCUGUGACUGCAUAGCUAGAGUACGGUAGAGGGGGAUGGAAUUCCGCGUGUAGCAGUGAAAUGCGUAGAUAUGCGGAGGAACACCGAUGGCGAAGGCAAUCCCCUGGACCUGUACUGACGCUCAUGCACGAAAGCGUGGGGAGCAAACAGGAUUAGAUACCCUGGUAGUCCACGCCCUAAACGAUGUCAACUGGUUGUUGGGUCUUCACUGACUCAGUAACGAAGCUAACGCGUGAAGUUGACCGCCUGGGGAGUACGGCCGCAAGGUUG